GUCACCCCUAUCCAAAACCAGCUUAUCACUGCAAUCUACAGAAGGGAACCGAAGCUGAAGAUUUAUCAGAGAAUGGAGGCGAUGAAAUCAAGACGAAAUGCCAGCAAAAGGAAACCCUUCACUGAUCUCAGCAACACAAUCCCGCCAUCUUUGCCUUCUUCACUCUUAUCUUCUUCAAUCAAACCCCAAACCAGACCUUCACACUCUUUGCCUCUUAAACCCCUUCUCAACCACAACCGCAGUGCAGAUCUUAGUUCUAACGCCAAUAUAACUACAACCAGACACCCCAUCUAUGAUAGUGUUCACAAUGACAAGAAUUAUAAGAAAGACAAGGUAAAAAGUCAAUGUAACAAGUUAAACCCUAGCUCAGCCCUGUCUCCGCCGCCCAAAUCGCCUUCUGUUUCAGGUGAUGGCGAUUCUGUAGUUUCUGAGCUGUCUACAGUUUACAGCAGGAGACGUACUGCUGAAAAAAGGAAGAAUAAAGGGAAGGAGAUUAUGGAGCCUUUGAGUUGCUCUCUUGAAACACGAAUGUCAAACUUCAGAUUAUGAUGAUCUUCCGUUGAAUGCUUGCUUUCCCUUGGUUUCCUCUAUCAAUGGUGUUUCUCCUUGUCUUUAAUGUAGAAGAAAAGAUAUGGAGAAGAUGAUAUUGGUCUCUCCAAAUCAUGCCGUAUGCCAUUUAGAAAGAAACAACACCGAGAGAGGGCUGAGGUAAACUUGCUCCAAGAUUUCAUUGACAAGCAGAGAGCCUAUUUUGCGGAGAUCGAUGCAUUAACUUGAAGAGGAGGUAGCAUCAGCUGGUGAGUCAGAAUAGAUGGGAAAAAAAAGGUAUAUAAUUGAAUGAUUUAGGUCAAUAGAAUUUAGGUGCUCUAACCCUAUAGUCUUCAUCCGCCUGGUUACCGACAAUUUUCAUGUGAUAACCAGCUUACCUUACCAAGCCAUAUUUGAUGCUUGAGUAGUAGUCUAGUUUACAGCAUUGUUAAAUUGUAGUUGACGGUUGGUUAAUCUAUGUGAAGCUAAAUUGAGGUUCUUACAAAGAGUUGUGUGUUGAUGCCAUGUUUGAUUUGGAACUGUGAAUGAUUGUUAUCAUGUUGUUG